rnacentral:lncRNA from 1 species
CCCUGUUUCAUGAACCCAAAUGAAAUUACAGAAUGGCAGGAAGGAGGAGUCAUUUAUCACAUGAAGAUACUGGCAGAAACAAGGAGGAACAGUGAGUCAGAGGGCAGGUGCUGCUCCUACCGUCAUCUCCAGCUACAUCUCCUACUCCACAUUCAUGUACUCAGUCUAAUACUGGAUUCCUAGCUCCAAUAAUAGCAAAUGGCUCAUAUGCUUUCAUCCCUCUUGAAGGGCCUCCUCCAUCCUCUCACAAGGGCCUUCAGUCCUGCACCCCUCCUUGUUGGACUUUGCUUCCAAAUCCCUGAUAAUGGGCAGUUUUAUAAAGAAUUUCUUUCUUCCUUGUGAACAUUAAACUAUCUCAGCUACAAUAACUUCUGCAGCUUCUCUUAAUGUAGCAUGAAGUAAAUUCAUGUAAAGAGAGCCACAGCCAGGUCUAUGCAUCACUUCAGAUGCUGAAUAGGCCUUGUGCUGGCUCUGCGAAGUGAAGUUCACCCUUUGGGAGGAAUUUCUCUCAAGUCAGAAGAGAACAGAAGGGAACUCUGUUCUCUCUCUCCAUGGAACUAUAUUCCCCUUAUAAACAAACUCAGAAUGUGAGGCGCUCUGUAUUACCAAGGCUUCCACUUUUAUCACAAGCCCAACUACAGUGGACUUCUUUUUUUUCCUAUUAAAUCCCAGCUCCUGGAGUCAUGUGAAUACCCAAGGAAUUUCAGUUGUCUUAUAAAAAGAUUGCAUUUCUGGCCCACACAGAUGCAGAGGAAACCCUGCAAAUGUG